rnacentral:rRNA from 1 species
AUGCCAGGUGUUAUACCGGUAGCUUCAGGUGGUAUUCAUGUUUGGCAUAUGCCAGCUCUGACCGAAAUUUUUGGGGACGAUUCUGUAUUACAAUUUGGUGGAGGAACUUUAGGACAUCCUUGGGGAAAUGCACCUGGUGCAGCAGCUAAUCGAGUGGCUUUAGAAGCCUGUGUACAAGCUCGUAACGAAGGGCGCGAUCUUGCUCGCGAAGCUUGUGAAGUAUGGAAGGCGAUCAAAUUCGAGUUCGAGCCGGUAGAUACUAUUGAUAAGUAG